rnacentral:rRNA from 1 species
AUUGAACGCUGGCGGCAGGCCUAACACAUGCAAGUCGAGCGGAUGAAGGGAGCUUGCUCCUGGAUUCAGCGGCGGACGGGUGAGUAAUGCCUAGGAAUCUGCCUGGUAGUGGGGGAUAACGUCCGGAAACGGGCGCUAAUACCGCAUACGUCCUGAGGGAGAAAGUGGGGGAUCUUCGGACAUCACGCUAUCAGAUGAGCCUAGGUCGGAUUAGCUAGUUGGUGGGGUAAAGGCCUACCAAGGCGACGAUCCGUAACUGGUCUGAGAGGAUGAUCAGUCACACUGGAACUGAGACACGGUCCAGACUCCUACGGGAGGCAGCAGUGGGGAAUAUUGGACAAUGGGCGAAAGCCUGAUCCAGCCAGGCCGCGUGUGUGAAGAAGGUCUUCGGAUUGUAAAGCACGUUAAGUUGGGAGGAAGGGCAGUAAGUUAAUACCUUGCUGUUUUGACGUUACCAACAGAAUAAGCACCGGCUAACUUCGUG